GGAGAGGUGACCGAGCGGCUUAAGGUGCGCGAUUGGAAAUCGCGUGGGCGGGUCAAACCGCCUCGUGGGUUCGAAUCCCAUCCUCUCCG
rnacentral:tRNA from 1 species